ACGAAAAAUUGAGUGUAAAAUGAACCUUCUUCCGCUAGGAUCUCGUCGAAAGCUGAGAAGAUCGUAUACGGGAACGAUUGACCGAAGCAAAAGGGAAGAAUGCAUUCCUAAUAGUUUCUGCAGUUCAACCAAUAUCUUGACACUGAUUGUCUAAUUCUUUCUUGCGUUGGAAAUGAAGUUAGAAAUCUUUCUGCGAUGUUACCUCCUCGGUCUCUCUUUAAGACUGCAACAGCUGAGUGCACGAGUUGUGUUUGAAAUUAUCGUGAGGCACCGCGUUUAAAUACCAUCGCCGUUUGUCAUAGAUCACAGAGGUUGGAUUUGGCUUUCAGCCGAGCAUAUGCCACGGUGAGGAAAACUAUGGCUUCCUAUCAUCAAAGACUCAAGAUACAGGAGACGAGCCUCACGGUUGACCAGGAUCCAGCCAGCUGAUCCACGCCACAUCGUCUUCGCUCACGAGUAUUUUUCAAGUUUUUUUCCCAUUCA